GUGGUGUCGGGGGACCGUUAGGGAAUGAUAGACCGUGACCCCAUUCACGGGCAAUCUCUAAUAUUCAUAACCCCGAUGGUUAUCCUCACCAC